CGAACAGCAUCGGUGUUUUCUGGCCAAAGUUCUCAUUUACCGACUGCGGAAAUGGAACAGGAAAACAUGACGGUGAAUAAGGAGUUGAGUCCCAGUGCAGCUGCGUAGGGCUGCUCGGCCUGCCACGGUGACAAGACCUGGAGUUACAGCCACCCCAACCAGGGCUGUGCCAAGUCUCGGAGCCUGUCUGCCUCGCCCGCCUUGGGGAGCACCAGGGAGUUCAGGAGGACGCGCUCUCUCCAUGGGCCCUGCCCGGUGACCACUUUUGGACCAAAGGCCUGUGUGCUGCAGAACCCCCAGACCAUCAUGCACAUUCAGGACCCCUCAAGCCAGCGGCUGAUGGAACAGGGCUCUGAAGAGCGUCCUUGGCAUCAAGAAGAUGAGAGAUGCCAGCCUGCUGCAGCCGUUCAAGGAGCUCUGCACAUACCUCAUGGAGGAGAACAACAUGAUCGUGUAUGUGGAAAAGAAAGUGCUAGAAGACCCUGCCAUCACCAGCGAUGAAAGCUUUGGGACAGUGAAGAAGUUCUGCACCUUCCCAGAAGAUUAUGAUGACAUUUCCAAUCGGAUAGACUUCAUCAUCUGCCUGGGGGGAGACGGGACACCGCUGUAAGCUUCCUCACUCUUCCACGGCAGUGUGCCUUCAGUCAUGGCCUUCCACCUGGGCUCCCUGGGCUUCCUGACCCCGUUCAGCUUUGAGAACUUUCAGUCCGAAGUUACUCAGGUGAUAGAGGGGAACGCAGCUGUUUUCCUCCGGAGCCAGUUGAAGGUCAGAGUGGUGAAGGAGCCCCGGGAAAAGAAGACGGCCAUGCACAAUGGGCUGGGUGAGAACGGCUCACGGCCUGUGGGUCUGGACAUGGAUGUAGAGAAGCAGGCCAUGCAGUACCAGGUCCUGAACGAGGUGGUGAUCGACAGAGGCCCCUCCUCCUACUUGUCUAAUGUGGACGUCUACCUGGACGAACACCUCAUCACCACGGUGCAGGGCGACGGAGUGAUCGUGUCCACCCCGACGGGCAGCAUGGCGUAUGUGGCCUUGGCCAGGGCCUCCAUGAUCCACCCCAACGUGCCGGCCAUCAUGAUCGCCCAUCUGCCCCCACUAGCUGUCCUUCUGGCCCAUUGUUGUCCCUGCAGGGGUUGAGUUGAAGAUCAUGCUGUCACCUGAAGCAAGGAACAUGGCAUGGGUGUCCUUUGACGGACGGAAGAGACAAGAGAUCCGCCACGGAGAAGCAUCAGCAUCACUACCUCAUGCUACCCGCUCCCCUCCAUCUGUGUACGGGACCCCAUGAGCGACUGGUUUGAGAGCCACGCCCAGUGCCUGCACUGGAACAUCUGGAAGAAGCAAGCCCACUUUGAGGAGGAGGAGGAGGAAGAGGAGGAGGAGGAGGGCUAGGUCUAGGCUCGUCCAGGCCCGAAUCCUUCCGCUGUCUGUUUUUCUGCUCUCCAUGCACCCUCAGGGGACAGACCAGUCUGUGUGUGUCUGUGAACACCUCUGUCUAAAUGGCACGACCACUUCCUUUCUGUAGCUGGGUUAGAACCUGGGUUAGAACCUGAGUCUGCCUUGUGUCCAGAUCAGCUAUUUUUUAACAUUUUAAAUCUGACUUUUUUUGCAUUUCUAAGGAAGCAAAGUGAGAAAUGGGCUGGGACCUCUUUUGUCCUGCUGACUCCCUACCCCCUUUCCCCCCUCGCCCCCAUGGGUCCCCGGAGCAUGGCCUCCAGCUGCUGGAAUUCCACGCCAGAUCAGUCAACUGAAAUUCAGAGGGGUCAGAGUGACUCGACCUGUCCUUCCAUAUUGACGAUAAAUG